rnacentral:rRNA from 1 species
AAGGAUGGCCUCUACUUGUAAGCUAUCGGCGUGGGAGCGGUCCAUAUCCUAUCAGCUAGUUGGCGGGGUAACGGCCCACCAAGGCAACGACGGGUAGCGGGACUGAGAGGUUGACCCGCCGCAUUGGGACUGAGACACUGCCCAGACUCCUACGGGAGGCUGCAGUAACGAAUAUUGGACAAUGAGCGAAAGCUUGAUCCAGCGACGCCGCGUGCAGGAAGAAGUCCUUCGGGAUGUAAACUGCUGUCAGGGACCACCAAGCAAGGAAGGUUAAUACCCUUCUGCGUUGAGGACUCCCAGAGGAAGCCACGGCUAACUUCGUGCCAGCAGCCGCGGUAAUACGAAGGUGGCGAGCGUUGUUCGGAAUCACUGGGCUUAAAGCGUGUGUAGGCGGACUGUCAAGCGUUCUGUGAAAGCCCUCGGCUUAACCGGGGAAUUGCUUGACGAACUGAUAGUCUUGAGGCAGGUAGGGGCAACUGGAACUCUUGGUGGAGCGGUGGAAUGCGUAGAUAUCAAGAGGAACGCCAGAGGCGAAGGCGAGUUGCUGGGCCUGUCCUGACGCUGAGACACGAAAGCCAGGGGAGCGAACGGGAUUAGAUACCCCGGUAGUCCUGGCCCUAAACGAUGUCCACUAGAUCGGAGGCACUCUGACGUGUUUCUGGUCGAAAUGAAAACGGUAAGUGGACCGCCUGGGGAGUACGGUCGCAAGGCUAAAACUCAAAGGAAUUGACGGGGGCUCACACAAGCGGUGGAGCAUGUUGCUUAAUUCGAUGCAACGCGAAGAACCUUAUCCUAGGCUUGACAUAUACGAAUGCCUACUGGGAAACCAGGUCGGCUGCCCUUCGGGGUGAAACGUAUACAGGUGCUGCAUGGCUGUCGUCAGCUCGUGUCGUGAGAUGUUGGGUUAAGUCCCGUAACGAGCGAAACCCUUGUCGUUAGUUGCCAGCGCGUAAUGGCGGGGACUCUAACGAGACUGCCGGUGUUAAACCGGAGGAAGGUGGGGAUGACGUCAAGUCCUCAUGGCCUUUAUGCCUAGGGCUGCAAACGUGCUACAAUGGCUGGUACAAAACGAAGCGAGACCGCGAGGUGGAGCAAAUCGUAAAAAACCGGCCCCAGUUCGGAUUGGAGUCUGCAACUCGACUCCAUGAAGUUGGAAUCGCUA